rnacentral:lncRNA from 1 species
GAGGCUAUCAUGCUCUACCUGAAGUGUACAGGGAAAAGGAGAAAAAUGGAAAAUGAGAUUUAUUCCCCAACAUAACAAUGAUGUCUUGAUUAAUAGUUAUAGCUCAGCUCUGAAAAUCCUACAUGCCAAAGCAUUUGUGAAUGUGGAGAACUGAAGCACACGUUUGAAUAUUCCCAGUGACCCUGUUUGAGGUAAACAUGAGGACCUCAUUAAAGUGCUUGUGCUCCACCUGAGGUUCAUGGAGUGAAGCUGCUCCCACUAGAGUUCUUCCAGUGACUUCUGCAGGAAUUGGCCAAAACUGCCUUUGUGUACAGGAUGGAUGAAUUCCAGUCCCCUCAGAUCUUCAAACCUCCGUGUGAAGGUACCGUACUGCACACCACGCAUCUGCAAAGCCCUUCUUCCACCUGUGCACUGUGACUGCUGCGAGCCUGGGACUCUGCUGCACCGCUCCAAACAGGAAUGCAGGCAUCGUGUCUGCAUAUGUGAAGGCUGGGACAGCUUGACCUGUUGCAGUAAGUGGGGUCUCCUUGCUGGCAUUUCAGCACCUUGCUGCCUUGGCCUUACCGGAUCAGUCCCUGCCUGCGUACAACAUUUGUUCAUGUCGCUGCAUGCUGCCUUUGGUCUUCCUACUUCAGGGCAGACAGUCAGCUGCUUCUCAGGAAGAUGUAAACUAAAGAAAGUAUCUUUGGCCUCUGGUCUGGAGUCCUGCGUUACAGAUGUGCAAUGUACUGAGUUGGUGUUGUGGACACAAGAUUGUGCGCUUGGAGCUUCAGAAAUGCUCGUGUCAAGCGUUUGCAGAGCAGAAAUGUCUCGGGGAAGGUCUGCCCUUCCUUCAGGAGACCCUGAGCAAACCCCCA